AGGGCCACACCCAUGGCACAUGGAAGUUCCCAGGCUAGGGGUUGAAUCAGAGCUGCAGCUGAAGUCUACACCACCGCCACAGCAACACCGGAUCCAAGCCACAUCUUCAACCUACCUACGCUGGGGCUUGCAGCAACACCAGAUCCUUAGCCCACUGAGCGAGGUGAGGGGUUAAACCUGCAUCCUCAUGGAUACUAGUCUGGUUCUUAACCUGUUUUUAAAGCUCUUCUAGAUCUCAUGGCGAGAGGGAUGGCUUGUUAUAGUUCUGUUCACAGGUGUUUCCCCCAAAUCUGCAGCUUUAACCAAGUGAUUAGGCACCUUGUAAAUGUAGGUCAUGAACGUGGAGAAGGACUUGGGGGGCAGAGGGGGUGGGAGCAGGUGCAGAGCCCACCGGCUCAGUCCCCAUCCUCAGGGGCCAUGAUGUAUGGCACUGCCUGGCAGCCUGGCUUUCUCUCUUCCUUUUUAAUCAUUAACCUUGAGAGCAAAAGCCUCCUUAUUUUAAUCUUCAAGGUUGCAGUAAGUCUUCGGGUCUUUAAGUGCUUGGUUCCCAGAUGGAAGCCAACAGAAGUUCUCUCUGCUGUCAGCCCAGCCACACGAUGCCUUUGACAGAUCUUUUUCUAAAAACAGAACUUGCUGUUUCCAGGGAGCCACGAAAGGGACACUCGGAACAGAAUGCCAGUCCCAGAGGGUGUGAAGAUCACACUCAGAUGAUCUCAGCAUGUGGAUGCCAGCUGCAGGGAUGUGGGGACCAGCUGGGUUUUGAGUUCCAGAUAAAACUAGCGGUAGAAGGCAGAGAGCUGACGUAAGUAAGGGUGGUCGUUUGGGUUCGAAUCCUGCUGUCUGAGAGCUGGUGAACUCUUGGCAACUUGCUUGUCCUUGAGUUUUAACCCCUUCAUCUAUAAAACAGGGGUGCGAUACCCACGUCCCAGGUCUUUGCCAGUAUUUGAAAACGUGCAAUAACUGUAAAUGUCUUUUCCUCUUUGCCUGGAACUUGCCUCCUCGCCCCCUCCUUUCCUCUCUCCCCUCUUCCGUUCCUCCUUUCUUUCAUCUUCUUCCUCGUUAGACUAUUUCUUUCUUCACAGUGAUGCUUUCAGGGAGGAGCAAGAUUAGAACAGGCCAGGAGGAGUUCCUGCUGUGGUGCAAGGGGAUCAGUGGGGUCUCCGCAGCACUGGGAUGCAGGUUCGAUCCCCAGCCUGGCACAAUGGGGUAAGUGAAACCAAGCGGGGCUCUGUGGGGUUCCUGGGCAUGGAAGCCUUUGUGUCUCCCACUUCUUGCUUUUCGUGAAUAAGGCUCAGCCUUCAUGACCUUCCCCGAGUUCCAAAGGGCAGGUUCAAACAGUUGCUCAUCAGGGAAAGGGGGGGGGGGAUGCAAAGACCAGGGAGGAACAGUCUAGAAACAAUAGUGCGGCCUUGGGGGAGGGUCCUGGUUCCCCUCAAAGGAUAGACAUGACAGUAUGUUUGAGCUCUUCUGUAGAACCAAAACCCCUAAGAAACAAAAGAUGUUAACUAUUUGGUGCUUCGUUCCAGAAAGAAGGAGGACCACCAAAACCAGUCCCAGGGCCACUAAACACCCGCUUUGAAGAAUGCAAGCUGGCACCUGUCCUGAUCUCUAUCUGCAGCCCUGUUUUCCAGUCUCAAACUGCAAGACAUCUCCUGUUCUUUCGCAAGGGGGACACAGUCUUUAAGGCAUUAGCCUGCUGGGGUCUCCUUCGCCUGGCAAAGCAAUAAAAGCUAUUUUGUUCUCCUUCACCCAAAACCCUGCCUCCGCAUUUCUAUUUGGCACUGGGGGACAGAGGCCAAGUUUCAGCAACCUAAGGAUCCAGGGCUGCUGCAGUGGGUCGUAACUGCAGCUGAUCCCUGGGCCCGGGAACUCCCUAUGCUGUGGGGCGGCCAAAAAAGACAAAGAAUGAAUUAGACCAGGAAAGGUCUUAGUGAGUUACCUGCCUCGAUCAGACCCAGAGUUUGGGGCCUUAGGUGAGGAGGAAGAAAGGGGUGUUUGGGGUGGUUCUCUGGGGCCAUGUGGGCACCCGGACUGUUGGCUGAACAGAGGUCAGGAGAACACCGGGCUUGGUGGUGCUGUCUUAGGAUGCUUGGUUUCUACACCCACGACAAGGGACAAACUAGCCUGACUUUCUACGUAGGAUUUCUGAGAACUGAAAAAACUAAUAAACAUCACAUUUUGUUUUGUUCGAGAAAGCAGGAGACGGGAGACGCCAAUCAUGCCUUAGUUAACAUCCAUCAGGCCACAAGUCUUUGGCCUAGAGUCAGGGAACGCCAGCACAGGGAAGCCACUUAGAGCUAAUCGGGCACAAAGGCAGAAAAAGUGCGGUUCAAAAUUCCAGAUUCGAAUGACUUUUACUGAAUCGUCACUUAGCAUUUUCACAGUCCUGGCCUGCUCUUGAAGGGCUGACACCAUACAAAAACCCCUCCAGUUGCAGGAUUUGUCUAGAAAAUCUUGGACUAACUUACCUGAAAAGCUUAGAAUUUUGAUUUUGCAGGACUAUUUUGUUUUCAUAUGCUUUUUUCAUUGUUAAGAAUCAUGGCUUAAGCAUUUGUCUAAAUGCAUUUUCCCAUUUUUAUCCACAAGUACUCCCUAAGAAUACAUUGUGAUAGUAACGACAUCUUUAAAAAUGUAGCAAUAUUAUCAUAUUAAAAAAACUAGUAGCAUUCUUUAAUAUCAUCAUAUAGUCACUUCCAAUUGUAUGUCUCACCUAUGAUCUAGCUAGCUACCAAUCAUCUCUCUAUAUUCUAUUUAUCUUCUAUCUAUCCAUCUAUCAUCAUCUAUCUGUCUAUCAUCUAUCUAUCUGCAAUUUACUUGUUUAAAUCGGAACACAAAUGAUGUUCACCUAUGUCAACUGGUUGACCUCUCUCUCUCUCUCUCUCUCUCUCUUUUUUUUUUUUUUUUUUUUUUUUCUUUUUAGGGCUGCACCCAUGGCGUAUGGAAGUUUCCAGGCUAGGGGUCGAAUUAGAGCUGCAGCUACCGGCCUGUGCCACAGCCACACAGGAUCUGAGCCGCGUCUGUGACCUACACCGCAGCUCACAGCAACACCAGAUCCUUAACCCACUGAGCAAUGCCAGG
ensembl:lncRNA